AGGCAUGCCAACGCUCGUUUAGAUGAAGAAGCGUAUCAAGCAGAAUUGCAACGCCGUCGCACUGCUUAUGCUCUACGCUCAGCAGGAUUUCGUUUCAAAGGAACAGCCUUUGGAAAGGUUGACCCUCCACCAGCCCUUGAAGUUCCUGCCAUCUACAUCAAGGAGGAGCCUGAUGAUGAAACUGAAGAAGUAUAUAUCAAAGGGGAACCAUUCGUAAAUGAAAAUGAGGUUUGUUCAACUGCACAUCUCAGCCCUGC